GCGAGACUGUUGUAUUGGUAGCAUAUGGUCCCUCCGUGUCCAAAAACUGGGUUCGAUUCCCAGGUUUCGCA